GUUUUAACCUAAGCUGGUAAAAGUAAGCUUAGGAGGUUUUCAUGCAGGUCCCCACAUCUGCACCCUAGAGUUCAGAGUGGGGAAGGAACCUUGACAGGCACAAAUAUUUAUAAACUAUUUUUUAAGCUCUGAGUUUCCUACACUGUAACUGAAAUACUGCAGGUGAGCAUAAAAUAAACAACUGGAAAAAUAGGUGACUGGAGAAGUUCUGAUGACUAUAGCUUGAAUGCAUUCAUCCAAGUGUUGGCCAUUUCAAUGGAGCUUUUUAAGGAACAGUGGAAAGCCUUUAUCAAUGAUCUGUAAGAAAGGGGGGGACAAGGCUGGAUCUGAGCCUUUUUAAUGAUUUAUGAUAUGUAAAUGAUGUAGAUCUGGAACUUUUAGUUCUUCCUGUCUCAUAACACAGUAACAAGGGGACAUUCAAUAAUAUGAAAAUGUAUGAAAUUCAAAACCACUAACAGGAAAUACUUUUUCAUGCAAUGUGUAAUUAAACUGUGGAAUUCCAUGCCACGUGAAGUCAGAGGCCAAAACUUUAGCAAGAUUUAAAAAAGGGUUGAAUAUUUAUAUGGAUAUCAAGAAUAUCCAGAGUUGUCAUAAUUAAUAACAGCAUAUUUUGUGGAAGAGCUAUUAAAAUUUUUGCAACAGUGUUUUAAAUAAUCUCUAACUAUUAGAGAUUAGGAUGAGACCUAAUGUGGAGAGCUGAUUGUCCAACAUCUGCUACUGCAGGGUUCUUACACUUUUCUCAGAAGUAUAUGGUGCUGGCCAAUGUCACAGGCAAGAUACUGGACUAGAUGGACCCUGCGUCUGAUACAGUCUGGCAAUUUCUGUUUUCCUAUAAAUAAGGCAUGAAAGGUUGGUAUUUUUAUAAAGGGCUUUUCUGCCCUACUUUUUGAGGUUAGAAAUGUAGGAUUCCUUUCCCCUGGAAGACACCAUGAAGUGUUACUAGGUGUAUGAUUUCAGAGAUAAUAAGCAGGUAAACCAUGAUUAACUAAAAUAGGGAGCUGUUUCUAUUGAGAGUGUAUGAUUCAUCAUUGUUUUUUUAUUAACAGCCACUUAUUAGAAUGCUUGGGAGAAAAGCCCUAAUUGUUAGGAAUUCAACCCCUUCCAUUGAAGAUUGAGAAGUCUCUCGCAGCAUGAGCAUUCCAUAAUGUCCACCAACAAAGGAAGGAAGCAAGGGUGAAAUAUUGGCAUUUCUGCUUAUAUUAAAGAAGUAAAACAAGCAGAAUAAAAAGGCUUUAUUUAAAAAAAAACCUACAGAUUUUGGUACUUCUUCAUGAAGAAGCAAAAUAAGGAAAUCCCCCUUUUGUUUCAUCUUUGCAUAAUAUCUUUAAAUGAAUAAUGCUAUUGCCACUUAGUCUUAAUGAAAUAAUUAAAGGUAAGAUUUCCAGUCGUGCAUUUAGGACCAUAGUUUUAAAAAGCCCAGUUCAGGCUUAUCUAAGACCAGAAUGUGUUCCGUCAAUGUUGGGCCUUACUGUGUGCUGGAACCAUUUGCAGCAAGAGAGCACCUUUUUAUUUGUCGUGCAUGUAAGACCUUACAGACACUGUUAUAGCCAUGUAAAGAAACAAUGCAAAUAUGCUGUCCUUGUGCAAAACAGCUGCUGCCUAGUCUGAGGACUUAGGAACAGAGUUGGUUGGAGAAGUGGGUUUGCAUUGUUUAUUUUAUGAAAUAAUUUUGAAUGUUGUCUGGGUAUCCAUUUAUUUGUUAAUAGGUAUAUAAAUUAUGCAGUGAGAGAAAUGGGAGCUGCCCCUUUCAAUUAGGAUGGAGGUGCUUCAAGUGGGCUCUUGCUGCCACCCGGGAAUGGUGUGUUGGGGAGAGCGCUGCAUAGGGGAUUGGGAGGACUUGCCUGCAGGAUGCUCCCAAGCAUGGUCAGAAUUCAAAGGGUAAUAAAGUUAUUCUUCAAAAACUAAAGCCUUGUCACUGAAGGUGUAACACGAGUGUGCGGUGAGGUCCAUUAUCUAUAAAGACUUACUACAUUUUUGCCCUUUCUACUGAUUCCACUCAUAAGGAAGAAAUCAAAGGAUUCUCUCCUAAAUUGAAAAUAGUGCGUCCUGCCAUAUGGAACGAUACUCUGCAGCUGACCUUCCCCUAUCUUUCUUUUGUGAAUUUCUUAUUAAAAUAGUUCCAAGCGUAUGUUUAUUUUAAUGUGCUUACAGUGUGAAGGAGGCAGGGCCUGAAACCCAAGUGUCUCCUGUCUUAUGGCUGUCUCAUCAUACACUUCUGAGACAGCUUUUUUAUUAAUUACCAUGGAGCCAGUGUAAAUGUUCUACAGAUAUUAUUAAAAUCUCCUUAUAUUACAACUUUCACAGCACACUCAUGCAAUGAAAACUAAUGAAGUGAAAUUGAUCUACAAGGCUUUCCCCCUUCUCUUUGACCUUUAUGCUCUGCUGGGAGAAGUUUGGGCUUAGCCCUUGGCCUUUUUGAACAAUUCCAUGAGCUCUGUUACUUCUGACCAGAACAGGCAGACUUCAUUUUAACGCUUUGUCUGCAAGAGAUCAGGAGGUAAAGAGUCUCCUGUUCAGAAGAAAAUUAAAUAUGAAUUCACCUGGAUGGUAGGGUUUGGGAUCCCAGACAUUUUCACCCACCCCUUCCCAAUAUUAUGAUAGUCUAUAAUGGUAAAACUCAUUAGUUCAUUAUCUAAAAUACAGUACCACCAUUUAUGCUAAGUAUCAAUCAGAUAUCUUUCCUGAAGGGCGGAGGGAAAUUUACAAAGCCCUACGCAAACGAAGAGCAAAAUCCAGGCUUGGUGUAGUGUGGUGUAACUCCAUCAGCUUCAUUGGAUUGUAUCCAUUUAUACCAGGUCUGAAUUUGGUCUGGGGAGCUAGCGUAGGGCUCCCUAGUAUGUAGCAAGAGUCUUAGCUAGCCUGACCAGCUCAGUACAUCUCACCCAUUAUUUUCAUGAUACUGAUCCAAAAGGGGGCAUGUAAUCAUUGGAAAACUACUCACUGAUGAUUAAUAUUCUUCUGUGAUGUAGGUAUGAUUCACCACAAAGAAUUAUAAGAGGUGUUGGAAAUAUUUAACUAAAAUGUGUGUAAACUGGGCGUGUCAUAAACAGGUUUUUUCCAGAAGGAGCUGACACCUCAAGUCAGGUGUGGCCAACGAGAGGGGAUUAUUAAUUUGUUUCUGAGAUUGUAGGAAGAUCAUUUGCAUUGUAAAAAUCAUAAGUGGGGGAGAAGCCAACAUGGUGUCUACACCCAACAGGGGAAAGGAACUAUAUUUGGGGAUACGCUCCAGAAUAAUGCGUUGCAAAGGUUUCCUGGACUAUACAGAAAGACAUGGGGCAGUAAAAACCUGUAAAUUAUCCUCAGCUGAUGAGCUGAAGAAACCAAGUGAUUGGAUGCUGGCUAGGCAUUGGCCAGCCAUGCUGGAAAAGCAACUGGGGUGAAAAUCUUAUUUUGAACAAAUGACACUUAGUUUGUUAAGUCUGGUUUUAGUCUCAGAAGCAUGUUUUUAAUUUUGGUUUGUAACCAUUUCUAUCUCAAUUCCUUCUACUUAGUAUCACUUAAAUAUCUGCUCUUUGUUAAUGAACUUAAUCUUAUUUUAUUACACAACCAUCUAGUGCGGUGUUUCAGACUGAAGGGUCAGGUCCUCAGCCAACCUAACAAGCUGGUGCUGUGGUCUGGCUCUUCAGAGGAGCAGAGACAAAGGUUUUUGUGAAUGUUCUAGCAAGAGGGACUGGAUGCUACAUGGAAGACAGUUUUGGGGAAACUCAGAGCCAAAAGGGCUGUUACUCUAUACGGAGUAACCAGGCUGCUGGAAGCCAGGGUGAGGUCAUGGUUCUGUAAACAGGGUGCUGGCUUGAGGGCUCUAAGCCAAAGCUGCCCGGAACAGACACAGCCCACGGUUGUCAGGGCAGGCACUGAUACAACACCUUGUCUGGGUGAACCUCGAAGCAUCACAGGUAGCGCUUCUGCAAGCUUCUGUAUAGCUGAGCUGUGUAGCAAAAUUGUCACGUGUGAGUCUUGAGUCAGUUUAAGUCCUCCAUUUCCCUGGACGAUCAGAGAAACUAUUGUGUUUUGCGUUCAGACAUGUCAAUUCUCUCAUUUCCGCUCCUGUAGCUGUUCCCCAUGAUCUGUAUAAAUACAUUUGUCUCAUAAACCCACUUCAUUAAGGGAUGUCAAUACAAAUGUUAGGCUUCAAGACUUCAUCGCUGUUCUCCCCCAUAGUUCUGAUUCUGCACACUUUAAACAUGAUCUCUUUUCUGUGUCAGAAGGUACUCUACCCACUACUCCUUCCCUAUAGACCCACUGUACUCCAAGGCCCAUAUUUCCAUUAUGGUUGGCAGGUAGGGUAGGAUGAGUGUUUCCUAACAAAUGAUGUUGAGAACAUUCUGGCUGAUGUAAAUAUAAACAAGUCUUCUAUAGUUUUUGUUACAAAAGAAGAUGGUAUCACAUCAGUGCUUGAAAAGUAGAGAAGCCCAAAUCUCAUUUACAUGAUAAGCAACAUGAGUCCCCUCCUUCCUAAAGCAACUGGAAUGGUGAAAGGGCAGCCAAACCCUGGAGCAGAUCCUCAGCUGGUGAAAAUUGUCAAAGGUCCAUUGAUUGAGCCUCAGCUGGCCUGAAUUAGCAGAGCUCCACUGAUUUCAACGGAACACAAGAGCUGAGCAUCUGCCCUGUCCUUUGAAAGGGAGACAGUUUCCCAAAAUUCUCACUCAAAGUGCUUGUUUCCUAUCAUGUAACUAUCAGUUUAGGACUGUGUUCCCCAGCAUGCCUAGGGAUUCAAGCUCAGUCAGGUGCUAGCUAUAUCUGCUGCAGGCCAGUUAAAGUAAGGUGCUGCCUUCUCUUCAGAAGAAAGAAAAUUGGCAUUCAUUGAAUCCCCAUAAGCUGAUAAAACUCCCAAACAGAUAGUAGCCACAGGGAUCUGUUGGACAGAUGACAGCAUUCCUGGCCAGGAAGCAGCUGGGACUGUGGAGAAUAUUGGAGGAGGAGUCACUUGUCUGGAACCAGUUUGGUGAACACUGAAUUCAGAGGUGCUGCACUGACAUCCCUGGAGACUGAAACCCUCUCUUCUUCCAUAGGAAAGAUGCCACAAGGGAAGUGGAAGCUUUCCCAUGCUACCUCCCCAAUAUAUCUAAACUCUUAUCUGUAAAGAAGCUCAUGUUGGGCCAACCUCACUUUGGGGAGUUUCAUCUGUUCCCAAGCGCACAUAAGAUAAAUAAAGAAGACGGAGACUACAAAGAAUUGCUUACACUUGAAAAAGCACACAAUAAAGCUGUGCAAAUGUUUGCAGGGGCAGGAUCAUGUUAACUGUUACUGACUUGUGAUUGUUCUGCAAUAAAAGAAUGAAUAUAGUCAUUUACUAUUUAAACACUUUACCUAACUGUAUAC